AGGGAAAGGCAGGCUCCUAACAGAUGAAACACCUGAAACCGGUGAUCAGCAGCUUCCUGAUAAGAUCUCAGGAGUUGGGAAAGUGUGCUCAAGUAUGUGCAUGCAGACAGCCCACCCCAAAGGAAGAAUCAGGGGAGAAGUAAAGCAAGACCCCGGAAGUAUGCCAAGGCGCCCCGUGUAUGGAAAGCUUCCUGAAGCUCUGACCAGCAGCAGCAUUGCACCAAUAGAGGCCUGGAAAGUGAAAAGCUGGUGAAAGCAGUGGAAGAAGGAGGAUAAUUAAUGCACCUAAAUCUUAGACAGGUAACAUAGGACAUAUUUGGCGAUUCUGUCUGCACAUGGAAGGACUUUCUCUUCUAUAGCUAUGAAGUAUUCUCUCUUCUGGUGGCCUUUGACGUAAGUAUUAUAAAUCUACCAAUUAUCAGAAGUGUGUAAUGUUGCCCAGUUUCCAAAUCUUCCUUAAAUGCUUGUCCACAGAAAUAUUUGAACAAUUGAAUAACACUCUACUUUUCAUGAAGACAUUCCAGAAUCAUAAAGACAAGCCCUAGGCUCUUUGAUAUUAUUCUUUACUUGAAAGUGACCUUACUGUAAUAGGCUGAUGCCUAGCACCUAGCAGUUAUUAUCUAGAGUUCCUAAGAGCUUUUCCCAAUAUCUUUCUUUCAUCCUUCAUUUCCGCUUCGCUUGAGAUUUCCCAGCCUCACUAUCACUCUCACCACCUCUCAUCUGCCAUGUGGAAAAAAUACUUCAUUGGCGUUCCUACUUCCCUGCUCAAUCACAUGCAAAGUUCACCAUGAAUCAUAGUUGUUAAUGGUUCCCCUCUGCCUUUUGUACUUGUUUCAAAUUCUGCAACUCAGCCUUCAAAGCCCCUAAUUAACUGGCUCCCAUUGAACCAUCUUCCACAGUGCCUCAAAAGAACUCUUAUUCUUUCAUCAGUCUGAUUUUCCCAUUGCAUCUGCCCCUCACACUCCCAACACAUACAUAUAACUCAUAUUCAUUCCAACUGCAUGAAUUAAUGAAUAAUAUGUCCCUCCAUGCAAUGUUCUCUUUCCCUUAGUUUCACUACUUCAAAUAAAAACUCACUGCAUAUAUUUAAUGUGUAUUUGGACAUAUGUAUACACAUGGAUACCAUCACCAUAAUCAAGGCAAUAAGCACAUCUGUCACUUCCAAAGUUUCCUUGUGUCUCUUUGCUUUUUAACUUUAUUUAUUUUGUGGUAAGAGCACUUAACAUGAGGUCUGCUGUCUUAACAACUUUUAAGUGCAUACCACUUGUAUUGUUAACUAUAGACACUACAGCAGAUAUCUAGAAGUCAUUUAUCCUGUAAGACCAUUAAUAUCUUAAAUUUUAUUUCUUUAACUUUAUACCCAGCUGAUAACUCAGUUACUUUCAGAAUUCCAAGUUUGAUUCAUUUUCUUUCAAAAUUUUGAAGGCUUUACUCUACCAUGUUCUAGCUUCUAGUUUUACUUCUGGGAAGUCUAAUGUCAUUUUGAUUCUCGAUCAUUUAUACAGGACAUACUCUUAAUUCUCUUUGGAAGCUUUAAGAUCUGUUUUCCCAGUAACUGAAAUGUCAUCAUAUCAUGACUUGGUAUGAGUCAUUUCUCACUUAUGAUGCUAGGCUCUGAGAGAGCUCAUUCAAGAUGGAAACUUGUGCCUUUUACUUCAGAAAUAUUUAUUGUUUUUGUCAUUAUUAUUAUAAUCAUUACUAAAUUUUCUAUAUUCUCUUUUUAUUCUGCAAGUCCUGCUAUUUGGAUACUGGAUAUCUUACAAUGAUCCUCUAAAUCACAUACUUGGACUCUUCUAUUUUCAACCUACCUGUUUUGGGUUUUACUUUUUGAAAUAUAUCUUCAAUAUUGUCUUCAAAAAUUAUAUACAAUUUUUUAACAGGUAUCACAUUUUUUGUUUUUCAAGAGUUAUUUUAUCUUGUGAUUUGCUUAUUUCUUUUGUAUAGAUUUAUGUUAUUAAAUAGAUGUAAUAUUUUAUAUGUGCAGUGGGGUUUUGUGUAUCAAUUAUACCUCAAUAAAGUUUUAAAAAAAGAAACUAGAAAAAAUACAGUUGACCCUUGAACAAUGUAGGAGAUUGGGAGGCUGACCCCCUGUGCAGUAGAACAUCCACAUAUAACUUUGUACUACCCCAAAACUUAACUACUAAUAGCCUACUGUUGACUGGAAGGCUUACCCGUAACAUAAACAGUCUAUUAACACAUUUUGUAUGUUAUGUGUACUAUAUAUUGUAUUCUUAAAAUAGGCUAGAAAAAAGAAAAUGUUAUUAAAAAUAUCAUAAGGAAGAGAAAACACAUUUUUACAUUACUGUAUUGUAUUUAUCCAUACUGUAAGUUUAUGUUGCCUAUUUACAAGAUACGUUGUCUAUUUGCAAUGGCAGGCAACCGCAGCUGCAAAUCUUAUCCAUGAUACCUAUCAAGCAAUCCAACUUUGCCUAGUAAUGUCAUUACUUUUCUCUGCUUCUUGGGAGCACGUCUAGCAUCACUAGAGGUACUUCGUAUGGGUCCUAUGUUGUUAUUCAAGGUUUAUGGCAUUACACUAUACAUGAAAAAUACACCAGAACCACAAGAGGUCACUUUUUACUGUGAUUCACAUUUUACUGGAGAGCUGAACUGCUCACAGGGAGAUGAUGAGCAUCACAUGGCAUUUUAAGAGGAUACUUGGCAACACUUGAGCUCAUGGCAAAAGCAGCAGGAGGUGGCCACAAAAUUAUUACAGUAGUACAGUAUGUACUACAGUUAAUUUUAUACAGUUAUGAUUUAGUAAUACUUUAGGUUUCUUUACAUUUAUGUUUCUUUACAUUUCUCUUGACUGUGAAUGGCAUCAUGUACAGUCUGAGUGCAUAAGUUUUAAUAAAUUUUAACUUUGGUAAUGGAUCUGUGCAUGUUUUAUGGUAGUAAAUGAUAAAAUAGACUAAUAUCUAUGUAUAAUUUACACAUUGAUGUCACACAUAAUGCUUUCUUGUUUUUUUUUCUGUAUUUUUAGCCAAUGCAGUUUGUUUGCAAGUUUCUUCAAAUUGUCACAAAUCUCCAAAAAAUUUCCAAUAUAUUUAUGUAAAAAAAUAUGUAUAAGGGGAUUCAUGCCAUUCAAACUUGUGUUGUUCAAGGGUUAACUGUAGAGACCAUAAUGGUCUAAAAAACACCUAACUUUCCAUGUACUCAUGAGUAGCUAUCUGAAGAUUUGCUCCUUUUUAAAAUUGAGUUAUUGAUUUUUUAAGUAAUUCAGUUGUAGGAGUUUCUUAUAUAUUUUGGAAACUAACUCCUUUUCACAUAUAUGGUUUGCAAAUAUUUUCUCCCAUUCCACAUGUCAGUUGGUUCCUUUGCUGUGCAGAAUCUUAUUAGUUUUAUAUUGUCCCACUUAGUUAUUUUUGUUUUUGUCUUCUGUGCUUUCAGUGUCCUGUCUAUGAAAUCAUUGUCAAAACCCAUGUAGUGAAGGUUUUAGGUUUUAUGUUUAAGGCUUUCAUCCAUUUCGAGUUGAUUUUUGUAUAAGGGUUCAAUUUUAUUAUUUUGCCUGUGCAUUAUUUUAUAUGUAUAUUCUUUUGCAGUUUCCUUGGCACCAUUUGUUGAUGAGACUAUGCUUUCCUCAUUGCAUAUUCUUGGUACCCUUGUCAAAGAUCAGUUGACCAUAUAUGCAACAGUUUAUUUUGCGCUUUCUAUUCAUUUCCUUGGGUCUAUAUGCAUGUCUUAAUGCCAGUACCAUACUAUUUUGAUUACUGUAGCCUUGUAAUAUAUUUUGAAAUCAUUAUGUGUGAUGCCUCUAAUGAGUUAAGGUCAUGAAUAGACAUGUCCAAAGAAGAUGCAUUAGUCCAUUUUCCCACUGAUAUAAUGAACUUACUGAUGCUGGGUAGCUUAUAAAGGAAAGAGGUUUCAUUGACUCACAUUUCUACAUGGCUGGGGAGGCCUGAGGACAUGUACAAUGAUGGUAGAAAGGAAAGCAGGUACAUCUUACAUGGUGGCAGGUGAGAGAGAGCGUGUGAAGGAGGAAGAGUUGAACACUUAUAAA
rnacentral:lncRNA from 1 species